rnacentral:rRNA from 1 species
GACGAACGCUGGCGGCGUGCUUAACACAUGCAAGUCGAACGAAGAGCGAUGGAAGCUUGCUUCUAUCAAUCUUAGUGGCGAACGGGUGAGUAACGCGUAAUCAACCUGCCCUUCAGAGGGGGACAACAGUUGGAAACGACUGCUAAUACCGCAUACGAUCCAAUCUCGGCAUCGGGACUGGAUGAAAGGUGGCCUCUAUUUAUAAGCUAUCACUGAAGGAGGGGAUUGCGUCUGAUUAGCUAGUUGGAGGGGUAACGGCCCACCAAGGCGAUGAUCAGUAGCCGGUCUGGGAGGAUGGACGGCCACAUUGGGACUGAGACACGGCCCAGACUCCUACGGGAGGCAGCAGUGGGGAAUCUUCCGCAAUGGACGAAAGUCUGACGGAGCAACGCCGCGUGAGUGAUGACGGCCUUCGGGUUGUAAAGCUCUGUUAAUCGGGACGAAUGGUUCUUGUGCGAAUAGUGCGAGGAUUUGACGGUACCGGAAUAGAAAGCCACGGCUAACUACGUG